rnacentral:lncRNA from 1 species
UUCGCUAUCAAAGAAACAAUCAAUUUGGACGAUCCAUCACAAGGUUGUAUUCAUUAAUGCCAUAACUCAACAAAAUCAGGACCAGUUUCGAGUUCACAAGGAAAAGGAGAACAAUCUCAAGCAACUUACAUAACAUUUUCCAGUUUUCCACUAAUCUCACCACUAUAUAUCUUGUACUAUCUGUACCUUUACAAGUGCGAAAUUCGGCAUAUACAAACGCAAAAUGAUUAUGGAAUAGACAGAUCAGAUGGAACAUCACUGACCUCAAGUAUAGAGAGAUCCCCGAUUAUAUUUAUAGAUAUGAAAGUGACAUUGUGCCUAAACUUCUGCUAUAACAAACUUUGAAACAAUUCAAAAGUUAGUAUCUCCCUCGAUGAUUGAUCCCCCAGAUAUCAAGAGUGUAAACGGUAUCCCAAAACAACACAGAUAAGUGCCACCAUACAGACAUAUAGAAGUGGGAACCCAACUUGAACUUUUCUCGGAGUUUUAUUAAGAAGAUCUGCCUGCAAAAAUA